CCUANGGGUGGCAGCAGUAGGGAAUAUUGGUAAUCUGCGAAAGCGGGAACCAGCAACGCCGCGUGUGCGAUGAAGGCCUUCGGGUCGUAAAGCACUUUUCGAGGGGAUGAGGAAGGACAGUACCCUCGGAAUAAGUCUCGGCUAACUACGUGCCAGCAGCCGCGGUAAAACGUAGGAGGCAAGCGUUAUCCGGAUUUACUGGGCGUAAAGCGCGUGCAGGCGGUCUUGUAAGUUGGAUGUGAAAGCUCCUGGCUCAACUAGGAGAGGUCGUUCAAUACUGCAGGACUUGAGGAUGGUAGAGGGAGGUGGAAUUCCGGGUGUAGUGGUGAAAUGCGUAGAUAUCCGGAGGAACACCAGUGGCGAAAGCGGCCUCCUGGACCAUUUCUGACGCUCAGACGCGAAAGCUAGGGGAGUAAACGGGAUUAGAUACCCCGNUANUC
rnacentral:rRNA from 1 species